AACACUGUUGCCGUUUUAACAGUCUUUGCCAGCGGCUAAUUUUCGUUUAUUUAAAAAAGAAAGAAAAACAAUGACAUAAAGUUAAGACCUUGCGUUACAAAACCGUUGAUUGUAUCAAAUCAUUACCAACAUUUUGGACAACAGAUAUCAUUUUGAAUACACGUAAAUGUAUGCAAAAGCUAGAAAUAAGCAAGAAACAAAAAGAAAAAACACACACACACACACAAAAACCAAAACAUAUACUUAACGAUGUGAAAAUGUGCAAAACAAAGCAUUUGCUUAAAUACCAGCAAUUAGGCACGCACCCGCACAAGAAAAACAUUGUCUUUGCGAAUUGGCCACAUUCAAGUGACAUUUCAAUGGAGUCGCCAAAUGAUUUAAUUAAACAACAAUUUUUAAGCACACAUGAGAAAUGUCAAUGCCCAGCGGAAACUUGAUUCGGCCAACAAGCCACCACCUUGGCAUUUAAAAUGUGGCAAAGUGCAAAAAACAAGCUGCACAACAGGAAGAUCGAAAAACAAAAUAUAAAAAAAAAGACCGUUCAAAUUUCUUAAUAGAAGCGCCAAAAGCCUCUAAAAUAAAGCAACAAAAAACUCGAAACAAAAAUAAACAAGUCGCAGCCACAGAUUAAAUGUUAAUAGUAACGGGCUCUCCACACUCGUGAAGCCGGGCAACAGCAAACAGAAAAACCGGAUUUGUGGCACAGAACAAUGCGCGCAUAAAUCUCGCGGCACAGUUUGAAUGCAAUUUACCAAAGCGCCGAAUGAGCGAUUGUCAGGGAUUAACGACAUAGCCUCAGCCGCAGCAACAGAUGCUGGCUGCAGCCAAGUGGACAGAAGUGAAGCCGCUGGCUGUAAUAAUCAAAUCAAAACUUGACAUUGUCUGAUGGCGCUUGCUGAUUUAAUAAAAAGGAAGCAACCGCAUGAGAGCGAGAAAGGAGGCUCCCCCCUCCAUAUUAACGCAUAUUAAGUGGCACAUUGUGUAAUGUGUGGCACAUGCAAAGACAUUGCCACAUCUGCGGCUCCAACAUACACAACGAUCCUACGUGACAUGCAGUGAAAGUUAAUUUGGCGAAAAAUUAUGAAAUGAAAUGUGCUUUCCUUUCGAGUUGCCAUUGCCAGCGCAUUGUCUGCUUGGGUCGGAAAUAAAAACCAGCAGCACACUCGGCGUCUACAAGGUUAAUAAAUACAUCCGAUAAAAAGGCGGCGCAGAAAAUCCACUUAAUCAAAUUAAGUAACUGCUCUCUAACGGCGGCUGCCCUGCAAUGCCCAGCAAAUUGGCGGAUAAGGCACAAUUCGCUGGCUCAUUGUUUGGUGCUCAAGUUUAGAAAGGCCACGGCUCUUGGAAAGGUACACCAAAAAGAGUGCUCCAUAUGCUGCACAGGUGGUUUGUUUAGUUAAUUUUAUGUCUAAAAGUUUAUUAAACAUGCCUCGUGCACACAUAGCACAUUGUUGUGUGGAGUUUCUUUUGAACGUGCAUGUAAAAGUUGAAUUUCAAAUGUGUAUUUUUGUUUUUGUUAUUGGUGUUUUGCUGCAGCCAAAUCACUGGGUUUUGGUCAUUGCAGUUAUGUGUAUGUGUAUGGUUGG